CUCCCCCACAGUUACUAGGAAUUAGAAACUUGUACUUUGCGGUUUCCUGAAUAGCUGAGUCUAUAUUUACUUCAGGACUUGGCACCAGAUCUGACUUUCUGGCAUUGUGAUUAAAUGACUCCAGAAGAUAAAUGUUGACUUUCCCUCAUAUGUCUCAGCUAAUGUUAUGAAGCUGACAUCUGCUGCUCGCGGGAGCACAAGACUAGACGGCAUGCCUACACUAAAUCAAUCUCCCAUCUACAACAGUGUAAAAUAAUUAGAUGUAAUCACAAGAUGUUGUCUUCAUUGUAAAGUGAAAUCUGGCAACAGAGGCCUGGAGAGAAAGAUUCGGCACGGCAUCAAAGGCCAGGUCAUGUUUUGCCAAGAUGACACAUACAGACGGUAUCUGACACCAGAGGGGCGGCUGACCUCCGCCACAUGUUUGUUUUGCUUUGGGCUGUAAAUUAAAGUCUCUUCUGUGGACC